GAUGAACGCUGGCGGCGUGCCUAAUACAUGCAAGUCGAGCGAACAGACGAGGAGCUUGCUCCUCUGACGUUAGCGGCGGACGGGUGAGUAACACGUGGAUAACCUACCUAUAAGACUGGGAUAACUUCGGGAAACCGGAGCUAAUACCGGAUAACAUGUUGAACCGCAUGGUUCAACAGUGAAAGACGGUCUUGCUGUCACUUCUAGAUGGAUCCGCGCCGCAUUAGCUAGUUGGUAAGGUAACGGCUUACCAAGGCAACGAUGCGUAGCCGACCUGAGAGGGUGAUCGGCCACACUGGAACUGAGACACGGUCCAGACUCCGACGGGAGGCAGCAGUAGGGAAUCUUCCGCAAAGGGCGAAAGCCUGACGGAGCAACGCCGCGUGAGUGAAGAAGGGCUUCGGAUCGUAAAACGCUGUUAUUAGGGAAGAACAAAUGUGUAAGUAACGAUGCGCGUCUUGACGGUACCGAAUCAGAAAGCCACGGCUAACUACGG
rnacentral:rRNA from 1 species